UGGCCACGCAAGCGCGCGCAGCCGGGGCUGCAUCUUCGUCGUCUUCCGCAGCGACGCAAUGCCGCCGCCCCUCCGCAAUCGGAUCACCGCCCCUACGUCCCCGCGCCUCGCGAGCCCAGUCGAUCGAAAAUCCAGCCGGAGCCGCUCGCAUCGCGAGGAGGCGCGAGCAGCACCGCGCUGACGUUCAGAAACUAACCACUCGGAGUCGGAGCAGCUUUCCCCCGUGAAGCCCUGCCCACCUAUUUCGCGAAUCGUACGCAAUACGCUCCAGGGAGCUAAUGGGCGCGCGCCGGGCAGGGGCGCGCUCGACGACCACGCAGCGGCAGGGUCCCGGCUGCGGCUACCGCAGGCGAGAGGACAUGGUGAUCUAACGUGGUUUCUGCAAUUAAAGUCAGAAAUAAUGAGUUUGUAGCUUAGCCUGUAGGGCAGAUCUUGUCUGCGACCUUAACUCUGAUUGUCUACCCUGCGACUAGUUGUUUGAUCUGACUACUCGUCCCCUUUAUCAUCACUGCCAUCCACCUUGGCGACCUCGAUUGCAGGCUCCAGCCUUUCCUGGCAUUCACAUACCUUAUGCGUGUCCGGAAGAGUCAGGGAGCAAUGGAUUGCAACCCUGAUCGAAACCUUGCCUCGGCCCACCACCACCGUCACUCACCAACCCUAUGGCUAGCUCUUUCCAAUCCAAGGCACUGCAUUCCCUCCCUGCUGAUCCAACGCUCACUGAGCCAGAGAUCGAGAGAACAUGGAAGAAACAAGACAAGGUGGUGCAGCUAGUGAGUAGCGAACUAACAAGAGAAGAGAAGAAGAAAAUAUGUAAGCUGCAGCUUGCCCUCCAUCUCCAUGCAUGGCGCCCAUGGCACCGAGGUCGAUCCACUCUGACCCACUCAAGUGCAAAGAAGACCACCCAGUGAAGUGACUGCUGCUUACCGUUGUCUGAGAAUAUUCCUCUUCAACCGGAGCUUUGAUGUCCAUGGCUUCAUUUAGCAAUGAUAAAUACACCAGCGGCCGUGGGCACAGUAAAGUUGAGGAAAAGGUCAGCUGAGAUUGGUAUUUGCCGAAUUCCAAAGUGACGUGAUAUGACGUCUCCAAGUUGAGUGUGGCUCCUUUUACCUAACUUGUAUGCUGUAGAUCUCUCACCUCUGAAAGACGUAUCUUAUUCAUGUACAGGCUGCAUUCUAUCUUCCCAGGAAUCAUUUGGUACAGAGCAUGCAACGGUUUUUGGGGAAGCAUAUGGUCGGGGUAGAGGGAAAGGGUUGCUUUGCAUUAUUGGUGCUACACUGGUACAGUACUACUAGCUGCGAUGAAUGAAACCGUGUGCUUUAGAAAGUGUGCACGAGGAACCUGUAUGUCAGUAUGUGGUUACUCUCCGUACCACUCGUUGAAAAGGUACCUUUGUAGGACCAUGGCAUCAUCCAUCGUAUAGUGGCAAUAGUCAGUGAGAAGGCUGCCGGGUUAUGAUCGUC